AUAUAUAUAUAUAUAUAUAUACACACAUAUAUAUGAUUAUUAAGUCUGUGGUUAUUAAUCUUUUUAUUGUACUUCAGCGACCACAUAAGUGAAGAAAUAUAAAUAGACGGGUAAAACGUGGACGAACUGCACUUCAGUGCCUCACAAAAGUAAUUUUCUUCUAAAUUGUGUCGCCACACUCUGCACAUUCAAACUGACAUUUAACCCUGAUCUUUUUUGUUUUUUUCAUUUUGGCUAUCACAUAUUACUGUUACAGUAACCCAACCACACACACACACACAUUCUUUUUAUUUAUAUAGGUGUCAGCUAUUGAUUCGAAAUUGAUCAUAUCGACUACAAAUACUUAUUUUAAUGUCCACCUGUAGGUUUAUAACUAAAAAAACCUAAUUACAAACAUGAACAUGAUUAUAUUUUUUUAAGAAGAUAAUCUGAUAAAGAAAAUUGAUGAGAUAAUAAAGACAUUAAUAUUCACUGAUGGGGUUUUUUUUUUAAGUAUAAAAAGUAUAAAAUAUAUGACAAAAACUGUCGUUUGAUCCAAUAAAGUUGAGUAACCAGAAUGUUUUUGAGCGCUACAUGUAAAGUUUGUUUCGUCAGUAUAUCAGAUCGAUAUUCUUAAGAAUAAAUUCCAAUCAUAAUAUUUGGUCCGCCUCGGGCUGACCAAGAUAUUUCGCGAGUAUAGGUGUCUAGCCAUGGUGGAAGCACUCCGAACACAAUCACACACAUACGUAAUGCAAUAAAGUGUUGCUGCAUAUCUAAUUGCACUUGGGAGAUCCAAUGCAGAGGUUCCAAACAACCACAAGGGAACAUAUGAAACCGACACACAUAAACAUAUAAUACAAAACAGUCCAGCCCCUCUCUGAAGCAAUUUACACGCAACGGCCUCAACUCAAGCCGGAUUUGAACUCAGAACAUCAAGAGAUAUGAGUGUUUGUAAAUUACACAUACCAGGGUUAUUCUCUUGACUAACUAACCCCAAAUCCAUCCAUCCAGCCCACUCAUUUAAUUUCAUUCAUCCGCUUUUCUUUUCGACAAUUUUCUUUCUAAUUGUAUCAUUAUUGUGCCUGAUUCGUUGUCUAAAUUAACAAUUAAUUCUGUUGUUUUAGUUUUGUUAAUAUUGUUAUCUUAAUUUCCACAGUUAAAAUGCCAUUGUGCCUAUUAUUAUACUUAUUCUUCCAAAUAUGGACGUUUGAAUUUCCCUCCGUUUCUGAAAAAGUUCAACUUC